rnacentral:lncRNA from 1 species
CCAGAAGCCGCGCCCUCCCUGAGCCCCGCCCCAGAAUCCCCGCCCUCCCCUGAGUCCCCGCCCUCCCCUGAGUCCCCGCCGGGGUCUGGACCUCCUUGCUUUCCUGGCCGUUCUCUACCCUUCCUCCCCUGGCUUUGCUUACCCUUCGGUAUGGACCCUCCCCCAGCACACAUUGGGUCCUCGAGAAAAGAGCUAAAGUGACGCACAACGAAACGGAAGCACACUUGCAGAAAAAGUGCCACCGCCCCGGGUUUUGAUAGUUAGAGUAGUUAGAGGGCGGCGUGCUUCCAACAGGAGCGGCUUCGGGCUUCACUGGCUUCACAGCACAGCUCUGCUGCUGGUGCCGGUCUUUCCUGAGAGCGGCUCCCCCGGCUAUUUUAAUCACAGCAUGCAUCUCAUCGUGGAACCAGACGCCUCCUGAGCCCACGGACGGAGGGGUCGGGUUUGCCGCGUGCCCAGCUCGGUGUGGUAGGCACGGCGCACGCUGUGAACCCCUGCAGAGCAAGCAGCAGGCUUGGAACGCAGCUCUCUGCUUGGCCACCCGCUGGGUGACCUCGGGGCCUUCACACCCUGCACCUAAGGCACAGUUCUUCCUGUAACAAAUACAUGCGAUUCUGCCCGCGUGGCAGGGUCGUGUGAGGUUAAACGAAGUCGGUGUGGCCCACGCAUGGAUGCUGUUCAGUUCCCUUUUCCGCUGUGCGCCCCACCCGCCCACAGAAGCCAGGGAUCCUCUCGAGGAGGAGGAGCUGGUGGCCCGGGAGAGGUGUGACGGGAGGAGGGCCCUGAGUCCUGGCUCCUCCUUUUCCACACCCCCCAGGAAGCUGAAGGAGCAACCACCCUCUAAGCGCCAGGCACUGUCCGGGAUGCAAGAAGUGACUCUGGUGACGGAGACCCUGGAGAGGGAUCAGCGGGAAACCCUGAAGGAAGGCCGCGGUCUGACAUCCGGAGCCGGUUCUUUGGAUGCCUUUUCAGCUGCAAACGGAAGGAAGGUCCUCGAGUUUGGAGGUUUCCAGAAGCGUGAAGGAGAAGGUGCAGGACACGGUGAGAAGCCUCCGGGGCCUGAAUAAGCAGAGAAAAGGUGCUCUGAGCUUCCUCAUCCAGUGACUUCACAGGGAGCAGGACCUGCAAGACCUACAGCGGUGAGUGACCCUGGGAAGGACUAGAGCAGGGAGGGACCAGUGGGGAGGCACUUGGCAUCAGGAGGAUCACCUGCUACAGAGGGACCGCGCUUCCUGCCCACCUCCUGGCUCCAGGUGUUUGACGUCCUGAUCUUUGGAGAGCUGCGGCAGGAGGAUCUGGCUCUCCAAAGCUGGGAGCCUGGUAGAAGCGCUUGCCAACACCAUUGUGGAGUUCGUGGACCCCUUGAUAGGUGAGGGAGGAUCCGGCUGGAUUCGGAGGUGGAGGAACUGCUGCUCAGGGAGGCCUGGGGAUCACAUCUUGGGGUGAGUGCCAACGGCCCUUUACGCUUUGCUUCAUGGGGGUGGCUCCUCACUUGGUAGAGACCAGCGGCUCCCCUUCCCCGUGGUCCAGUCUGUGGUCCCCAACUGGGUAGGGGGAGGAGGCACCUGGACUCCGUGACGUGAGCCUGAGCAGUUGUGGAGGCCCUGGUCCGCUUCAUACUCUCCUUCCCAAUGGACCUCUCAGAGGAGCAGCAGUUUUGGGGGGAGGCACUGGAGAAGGAGACCUUGCCCAUGCUGAAGGACAAGGUGAGAGGGCCUGGGUGGAGGGCCGGGUCACAGUGGGAGAGAAAAUGAUGUUCUCAAGGGACCCAGAAAUUCCAGGGCAAGUUCCAGCCCUUUGUUACUCCAUGGUUCCCCGCCAGCGCACGUCCAUGUGGCUGGCUGGUUAGUGACAAUUCCCUGGACAUAGGUCGCCAGGAUGAUUGGACAUGGGUUCUUUAGGCUCUGUUGCUUGCCUGGAGGAACGAGGGGCGGACGUGUGACUGCCAGGGCGGCAGCUGGCAUGGGCUGAUCAGGGUCACCUGCGUGGGCUCCACCGGAAGGAGCGCCAUGACGGUGACUAUGUCUGCGCAUGCGCUCGCUACUGCGCGCACUGGCCAAGCGCUUGCCAUUUCCGGUUUGUGUCGUUGUUCCUAGCUUUUAGGCUGGUUGGUUUCCUUCCAGGUGGAGACCAUCCUGGAGGAGAAGUGGGGUGUCCAGGCCAGCAAUCCCCAGGACCCAGACUGUGACCCCGAGGCGCAGGCCAUCUUUAUCCUCUAUCUUGCUGUCUCCAUACUGCUGCAGCUGAGCGAGCAGCCCACCACUUCUUUUUUUUUUUUUUUUUUUUUACCGGGGAUCGAACGCGGGACCUUGCGCUUGCGAAGCAGGCGCCGGAACCACUGAGCUAAAUCCCCGGCCUAGCCCACCACUUCUUAAGAGCUACUUCCCCACCUCCCGAGCCCACCCUCAAGCGGCCACCACGGCCACCACCGCCAUCAUCCUGUCACCAGAGGGACCUCAUCAGAACUCGCAGAUGGCUUUCUUCCAGGCACCCCUUCCCUGCGUGUUAAUAUCCCCAACCAGCCUGGAUUGUAUGCAUGGAUUUCUGGUUAAAACUGGCAGAUUGAUUUAUUAAUUUCUCUCCCUUGAAACCUCAUUAAAUGACAGUAGAGCAAUUGGGAAGGUAUAAGCCCUCCAGGAUAAAAAGGGAGUUGAAGUCGGGGAAUUUAACACAUCUUUAGAAGCUAGAAAGCAGGGGCCUGAGGGGCGCGCGCGCGCGUGUGUGUGUAUGUAUGCUGAUUUCAUCAGAAGUCUUUAGUUCUAUUUUAUAUUCUCAAAGAAAAUGUAAUUAGAAGUUAAAGAAAUAAUGUUGGGUACACAGCAUUUCAAACAUGUCUCCAAUACUAAGUAGAAGGUGGAGCUCCUCUGCAUCUCUCUUCCUUCGGAGACCAGAGGUAGCUGACGUCUGAAGCUAAGGUGACUUGUGCCAGGUAACAGACUGCUGUUUACAGAUCCAGGCACUGGGCUGUGGUUGCCUGGCCUGUGGAACCCAAGCCCAAGGGCCUCCCCGAGUGGGUUCCACUGGAAUCUCAAGGGUGCGCCUUCGUAGUAAAGGUGACUCAGCAGUAGAUCCAUGGCUCUUACCCCACCUCGGGGGAAUGCAGCCAAGACUUUUGGGUACUGAAUGAAGAAGAGGUUAUAAAAGAAAAGGGAAAGCCAGGGAUUUAGCUCAGUGGUUCUGCCACCUGCCUCGCAAGUGCAAGGUCCCGAGUUCGAUCCCGGGUACCAAAAAAAAAAGGGAAAAAAGUAUUCUGAGAGGUUGAGAUCAGAGGCACCUUGCUAAAGAACUCAGGCUCCCUGGCAGUGGACUUGGUUGGGGAGGUCUUGGGCCGAUCACAUGCUCAGGCACCCGUCAGAAUCACACUUGACCUUCAUUCCCAUAAAUGAUCAUCUCAGGCCAAUGAGUGCUUCCCAGGAAACUACCAACAACAAAGAAUCCAAGGAAGUAAAACCAUGAGCAAGAAUGAGCAAAAAUACAGGACAGCACAGCAGAAAGGUAAGAAAACAUCAAAUAAAUAAAUAAAUAAAAUAAAAUACUGGAAUUCCUAAACAAGGUUAUGAAAACAUAAUGAUGCUUAAAUUUGAAGAUGAGUCUGAGUGUGGUGGUGCAGACCUGUAAUCCCAGGACUCAGGAGGCUGAGGGAGGAGGGUUGCCAAGAGUUUGAGGCCAGCCUGAACUGCAUAGUAGGACCCUGUCGCAAAAAACCAAAAAAGUUCAAUCAAGGUUCCAAGAGCAGAAGACAAUGAGAUUCAGGCAGAGGCAAUGCUUGAUGAGACAGUGGUUGAGAAUUUUGCCGAAUUAAAGAUAAUCAUAGUUUUAGGAAAUGCAGUGAAUCCCUAGCAAGAUUUAUAACACAUUCACAUCUAGAAGAAUCAUAGUAAAAUGGAAGAAUAGCAACAAAGACAAAAAUUUUAAAACUAGUCGGAGAAGAAGACAACUGACCUUCAAGGAAGUUACAGACUGAAAACUCAGUGAGGAGCCGUUGAUGAUGAAAUUAUACCUGUGUGUGUUGAAAGGAAAGCACUGCUGAUUAAAUUUUUAUAAUCAGCAAAACUGUCUUUAAUGUAGCGGGGGGGGAUGGGAGAAAAUAGAAUUUAUUUUAAAAAAAACUACCAAAAAAAGUUAAUAUUGCAAUAUAUCAAAAAUUAUUUGGGAAGGGGCCGGGGAUUUAGCUCAGUGGUUCUGCUGCCUCCCUCGAAAGUGCAUGGAUCUGAGUUCCAUCCCUGGUACCAAAAAAACAAACAAACAAAAUAAAGGUAAAAUUAUUUUUAGAUAAGAAUGAAGAGCCUUUUUCCCUAGUAGGUCCUUAUUAAAGAAAAGUCAGGUAAAAGGAGAGACCUCAAAUAGAUUUGAAGCUGGGUGUGGUAGUAUACUCAGGAGGCUGAAGCAGGAAGAUCCCUGCGAGUUUGAGGGUCGCCUGGGCUGCAUAGUUCAAGGCCAGCCUGACAUAUGUGGAGACCCUAACUAACCACCCCCCCCAAAAAACCCCAAACCAAUAAAAGGUAAAUAAAGAGUUAAAUCUAAAUAAGCAGUAAUUGCCAGAGCCUGGUAUGGUGGUGCACACCUGUGAUCCUAGCACUGGGGAGGCUGAGUCAGGGGGAUCACAAGUUCAGGCCCAACCUGGGCCACUUAGCAACUUAGAGAGACCCCCCCCCCAAACAAAAGAGAAGCUGGGGUGUUUCUCGGAGAGAAGGCCUUGGGUGCAGUCCCCAGUAACACACACACACACACACACACACACGCACGCAUGCACGGACGGUGAUGCACGCCUGUAAUUCCAGCACUUAGGCUGAGGCGUGAGGAUAGCUAGUUCAAGUCCCACCUAUGCAGAUUAGUGAGACUCUGUCUCAUAAUAAAAACUAAAAAAGGGCUGGGGAUGUAGCUCAGUGGUAGAGCACCCUUAGAUUUAGUCCCUAUGUAAACUUAUCAAAAUGGCAUCCUAUGGGGUAAACAUAACAACUGUAACUAAUAUAAGCCGGGGACUGUGGCGUACAAUCCUGGUCCCAGCUGUUUGGCUUGAGCUCCUAUGAGAAUCUAAGACCACAGCUGACCUGACAGGAAGUGGAGCUCCAGUGGUGAUGUGCAGAUGGGGAGCUGCCUAAAAGUUUUCCUCAGUUAAAAAAAAAUAAAAUUAAAAAAAUUUUUUAAAAACAGAAAAAAGAUGAAGAAGAAGAAAAAAAGAGUUUUCCUCAGUAAGAUGUUGUAAGUCCCAAACUGGAAACAACUCAAAUAUUCACUAACAGGAUGGAUAAAUGUACUAUUGUAUGUUCAUUCAAUGGAAUAUUAUACAGCAGGGAACAGGAACAAGCUGAAGUUAUUCUUUGGGGAGAAUUACAGCACAAAAAGAUAUAUUCAAAAAGAUUCUUUCCACCUAAUGUUAAAAAAAAAAAAAGAAAGAAAACUAUUGCUUAGGAAGCCACACUUUGGUGGUAAAAUUCCAAGAAAAGUAAGGCAGUCCUUAUUAGAAAAACAUUCUCUUUGGAGGAGCAAUGGUACAAUCAGAAGAGGCCUAUCUGAAUGCAGGGUGUGAAGGACGCGAGCGAUGUUUUAUUUCUCUGGGUGGUAGGUAGUUCAAGUGAGAAUUAUUUGUUAGGCUGUAUUUUUAUGUGAAUAUACUUUUCUUCAACUAUGAUGUGGUUCACAAUAAAUUAAAUAAAAGAGAGAAUGGUGGUAUUCACUUUUUUGUUUGUUGAGACAAGGUCUCACUAUGCAGUCCAGGCUGGCCUUGAACUCACUAUUCAGCCCAAGUGGGCUCGGACUCGCAGCGAUCCUCCUGCCUCAGCCUCCAGAGUGCUGGGAUGACGGACUUCCCACGGUGCCGGCUGGCUCAAUGGGACUGUGAGUCCCUGGGCUCCAUACUCCGCC